UGGGGAAUAUUGCACAAUGGGCGCAAGCCUGAUGCAGCAACGCCGCGUGAGGGACGACGGCCUUCGGGUUGUAAACCUCUUUUAGUAGGGAAGAAGCGAAAGUGACGGUACCUGCAGAAAAACGCACCGGCUAACUACGUGCCAGCAGCCGCGGUAAUACGUAGGGUGCGAGCGUUGUCCGGAAUUAUUGGGCGUAAAGAGCUCGUAGGCGGUCUGUCGCGUCUGCUGUGAAAACCCGAGGCUCAACCUCGGGCCUGCAGUGGGUACGGGCAGACUAGAGUGCGGUAGGGGAGAAUGGAAUUCCUGGUGUAGCGGUGGAAUGCGCAGAUAUCAGGAGGAACACCGAUGGCGAAGGCAGUUCUCUGGGCCGUAACUGACGCUGAGGAGCGAAAGCGUGGGGAGCGAACAGGAUUAGAUACCCUGGUAGUCCACGCCGUAAACGUUGGGCGCUAGAUGUGGGGCACCAUUCCACGGUUUCCGUGUCGCAGCUAACGCAUUAA
rnacentral:rRNA from 1 species